GACGAACGCUGGCGGCGUGCUUAACACAUGCAAGUCGAACGAAGAGCGGUGGAACCUUGCUUCUAUAAAUCUUAGUGGCGAACGGGUGAAUAACGCGGAAUCAACCUGCCCUUGAGUGGGGUACAACAGGGGGACACGACUGCUAAUACCGCAUACGAUCUAACCUCGUGGUCGAGUAUAGAUGAAAGGUGGCGCCUUCACUUAAGCUAUCACUGACGCAGGGGUUUCCGGCUGAUUAGCUAGCUGGGUAGGAAACGGCCCAUCAAGGCGAUGACCAGUAGCCCGACCUGGGAGAUGAACGGCCACAUUGGGACUGAGACACGGCCCAGAAUCCUACCGGAAGGAGCAGUGAGGAAUCCUCCGGAAUGGACGAAAGUCUGACCGGGCAACGCCGCGGGAGUGAUGACGGCUUUCGGGUUGGAAAGCUCUGUUAAUCGGGAAGAAAGGAAUUUUUGCGAAAAGUGGCAAGGAUUGACGGUACCGGAAUAGAAAGCCACGGCUAACUACGUG
rnacentral:rRNA from 1 species